AUGAACGCUGGCGGCAGGCCUAACACAUGCAAGUCGAGCGGUAACAGAAAGUAGCUUGCUACUUUGCUGACGAGCGGCGGACGGGUGAGUAAUGCUUGGGAACAUGCCUUGAGGUGGGGGACAACAGUUGGAAACGACUGCUAAUACCGCAUAAUGUCUACGGACCAAAGGGGGCUUCGGCUCUCGCCUUUAGAUUGGCCCAAGUGGGAUUAGCUAGUUGGUGAGGUAAUGGCUCACCAAGGCAACGAUCCCUAGCUGGUUUGAGAGGAUGAUCAGCCACACUGGAACUGAGACACGGUCCAGACUCCUACGGGAGGCAGCAGUGGGGAAUAUUGCACAAUGGGCGAAAGCCUGAUGCAGCCAUGCCGCGUGUGUGAAGAAGGCCUUCGGGUUGUAAAGCACUUUCAGUCAGGAGGAAAGGGUGUGAGUUAAUACCUCAUAUCUGUGACGUUACUGACAGAAGAAGCACCGGCUAACUCCGUGCCAGCAGCCGCGGUAAUACGGAGGGUGCGAGCGUUAAUCGGAAUUACUGGGCGUAAAGCGUACGCAGGCGGUUUGUUAAGCGAGAUGUGAAAGCCCCGGGCUCAACCUGGGAACUGCAUUUCGAACUGGCAAACUAGAGUGUGAUAGAGGGUGGUAGAAUUUCAGGUGUAGCGGUGAAAUGCGUAGAGAUCUGAAGGAAUACCGAUGGCGAAGGCAGCCACCUGGGUCAACACUGACGCUCAUGUACGAAAGCGUGGGGAGCAAACGGGAUUAGAUACCCCGGUAGUCCACGCCGUAAACGAUGUCUACUAGAAGCUCGGAACCUCGGUUCUGUUUUUCAAAGCUAACGCCAUU
rnacentral:rRNA from 1 species